rnacentral:sRNA from 1 species
UUACCCUUCCACCUCUGUCAUGUGAGGACACAGUGUUUCUCCCCUCUGGAGGAUGUAGCAACAAGGCACCAUUUGAAAGCAUAGAGCAGCCCUUAUGAGACAACUGAAUCUGCUGCCACCUUGAUUUUGGACUUCCAGCCUCCAGAACUCCAUUACGUGUGAGUGCAUCUUCAUCCACCUUGGCGAGGCUAGUGUCUCGAUUGGCAAUGCCUGCCAGGAGCUCUACUACCUGGAACACAGCAUCCAGCGCGAUAGCCCAAUGCCAAGUGACAAGACCACUGGGUAAGGAGAUAAUUGAUUCUACGCCUCUUCAGUGAGCAGGCAAGUUUGUGUCCAGGGCAGUGUUUAUAAACCUGGAACCCAUAGUCACUGAUGAAGUUUGCACGGGCACCUACCACCAGCUCUUCCACCCUGAGCAGCUCAUCACAG